UGAAAAGUACAGUAAGGUACAAUGUUUAUGACAGAUUUCUCCCGAUUAGCCGACAUUAAGGUAGCGACGGAUAGCAACCACGUGAUCAGUAAAAAUUGUGUAUUUUCACGUGAAUUCAUUUUCCGGAAUUCCUUACUCCGUCAUAGAAUAGUCGAAAAACAAAAAGGGGUUCCGAAAGUUUUUUGUUGCUGUGACUGACUCGCCAAGAGAAAAUAUGCACAUAUCACAUAUUAGUAUACGUCAAUAUCUGUAAUAAUGGUAGAUCAAAUGUUUCAUCUGUGUGAAACUUUUUGCUAAUCGAAAUGUUAAACCAACCACCAAUCCAUGUACAUAGAUGCGCUACGUAAACAAAGUUGUUGGUUGAUACAUCGUAAUGUCCGAGUGCAGCAUGCUGCGAGAUUGAAUACUGUUUAUACAGUCAUUGAGAGGCUAAACAAAGUUUCUUGCAAGAAGAGGAAGUUGGUGGAUGCAUUCAACUUGGACAACGAAAUCAUAGUUUCGUUUGACAUCAGCCUGAAGACCAAGGGAGGUUAGAUAGGACCAGUGCAGGUUGAAGUGGAUUUUGAGUCAACAAGUAUAACAGCAAGAGAGGUACUCCAUUUACAGUGAUGAUGACAUAUCCCCUGGACCCCCACAACUCCACAAAUUUAAAAAUGUUUGAUCAAAAGAUUAAAGAACUACUGCAAAAUUUGGGACUUGGAUGAAAAACAUUAAUUCACUUAUAUGAGCUCAGAGCAGUGGAUGUUGUACAACAUACUUUAAACUAAAUUGUGAAUUUGAGGGAAAACAAGUACAUGUACUCGUGUAUUACAUGUACAUGCCUUUUGAAAGACAAUGAUAUUGCAUAGAUGUAAAGGAAAUUUCAAUGUUGAUUAUUCUUUCUUAGAUAUAUUAGUAAAAAAUGUGCACAUGAUAGAAUAUCAAUUUUAUAACUUCAAUCAAUGUGUUUGAAUUUUCCUUGUAAUUCAAAAUUUAGUUGAAACAUACAUCAUUGAUACAUUAAUGUAUAUCAAAUUUUUAGAAAAGUUUCAUAAUGGAACUAAUUCACCCCCCCCCCCCCCCCCCCACCCCCCACCCCUUAUACAUACAGUGAACAUAGACCUUCACCUGGGGAAAACCACAGUUAGUUAAUGCAAUAUACAUGUACAUGCAUUCUCAGUUAUCCAAUAGUGAGUUUUUGGUUCAUUGUGAAACUACAAUUAGAAAUCUUAAACUUAUGAAAGACACACCUAUCUGUGAGGGCAAGAUGACUCAGAUGGACUUACAUGUAGUGAUCCAUGGGCAGUCCAUGGGUCUCUUUCCAUUGCUAUUAAUUAUUUAUUGAAAUAUGAAAUGGUUAUUUAAACAUAUUUGGUGUAUUAUACUGUAUAGUGAUAUAAAUUUCUAUCAAAAAAUAUGUAUAGGCAAUAGAUUUGGUCCAGUUAUUACAAGAAAUUGUAUGAAAAAUAACUAAAUAUUUAGGCAAUCAUUGUGAGUGCGAAAAGGUCAACUGCAAUAGCACACACUAUAUAUCAUUCUUAAAUGGCUCAUAGAAACUUCUAGUAUUGUGAGUUUGAAUGCUUAAUGUGGUAAUUUGGAAAUGCUUAAUCAUUUAAGGUCAAUAGUUUGUUAUAUCAAAUAUUGACAAAUAAACCCAAAUCUUAUUUAUAAAAGCGGCUCUUCGCAUACCACAACCUAUUGUAAUUUUUGGAAUUCACUGGGUAGGUGUAAACUCACAAAAUACAAUAUGACACCGCACCAGAUGCCAAUCCUCACUCAAUAUCAUAUAGCAUAUGAUAAUCUGAUUUAAAUCCGAUGAUUUGACCAGCUACUGUCAGAGGUGCGUUAGCGGAUAAUAAUUUCAUUUCAUAUUAUACCACCAUAUUUUCUAUUUGAUCCACACCUAAAUAAAUUAAUUAAGUCAUGAUCUACAUGUAAUAUGUUUAUCUCCCCUUUUGGAGAGUACAUGUCAUUUUGUUCUAGCAAACCUUUUUGAAAAUAUCAUAUCCAAAACUUGUAUGCUUUGUGGCAAGUUCAGUUUUCAAUCGAGCUAAUAACGACUCUGAAAAACACAACUUAACAAAAUACAUUCCACAAACCUCAGUCUUCUAAAUCCCCUUGAUCGUUACAACGGUUUUAUAGUAAUAGUUCUAACGAUUUUGUUUUAAAUCAUUGCAAUGAGGUGUGUUUUUUCAAUCGCUCUAACAAUUUUUCUAACAUUUUAUUUCUCAAAAAUCGUUCUUACGAUAUCCGAUUAUCUUUAAAUUAUCUAUCUAUCGAUCGAUCGAUCGGUCGAUAGAUCUACAUGUACAGUAUCUAAAUAAAAAAUAAAAAAACAGCUUUACUAAAAGUUUCCGUGAUUCUUUUUUUAUUGUAUGUCAAAUUUUUGGGACGACCUGUCUCUUCUUCGGGACAAACGAAAAUGUUUACAUACAUGUAAUAUGGUUAAUGCAUUAACAGAGAAUAACAAAACAAAUAUUGCAAUGCAAUUGUGGAUCAGCUCUUUGGACGAAUAGGACAUGUCCUAAUUCGCUCCAUACUUAACAUUGAUUGGCAAGCCUAAAACCAUUGCUGUCACAAGACGGUGAUACCCGCAUUUAAUAUACUCAAUGUCGUACUUGUGUUACUAGCAAAGAAGCCACACUAGAUACAACAUAACAUACCUUAUACCAUAUAUAUACUUGCUGCAUAUGUCAAGAUGCAUUGAGUGGCAAGUGUCCUGGGGUCAUCCAAACCCUAUUUCAUAAUAGGUCCUGACCGUUAAACCAUAUAUAUUCCUGAUGUACAUAUAAAGAUUUUCUGAUUGUUUAAAUAUCUUUAAAAUGGUUGAGAUUCCAAUCCUUAAACCAAAUAUAUUCUUGUUGCACAUGACGCAAUGCACUGAAUACUAGUUUUUGAUCGUCGUUUUUCUCCCACCUCAAUUGCCCUUAAGGUGAAUCCUCAUUGCACAUGAACAGAACACCACCAAUCAUUUUCUAAAAGAUGAUUUGACUAUUGCAUAAAUUGUAAGAGGAGUUAUGGGAACCAGGUUUUUGUAGAAAAACAUCGUUUUCAACCCUUAAUUGGCCCUCAGGGUGUAAAAGCUAGUGCUCAGUGCAUUGUGUCAUGUGCAACAAGAAAUCAUUUGCUUGCUGGGUGCCAUGCUCAACCAUUUUAAAAAUAUUUGAACAAUCAAAAUAUGAGGGGGGGUUGGGAUGACCCCAGGUCACUUGCCCAACAGAAUACUCGAUCAAUGCAUCUUGACAUAUGCAACAAGAAUAUACAUGUAUAUAUGGUAUAGAGUAUAUUCAAAGGCCUGUAAGGCUUGUAAGCAUUAGUGUCUUAUGACAGCAUCUAUACUAUGAUGCAAUCAACGAUUUGAAUUCACUGUCAGAUUUUCAACGGAAUUGAAAAUAAAACAAAAUUUAAAUCAGAAGUAAAAUUAAAAAAAACCCACCUAGAUGAGCAAUUAAAGAAAAUGUCUGAAAAUGUUUUCUAUUCUCCUUUACUAGAUCUGUAUUUUAGUUGACUUGCAUUUUUACACUGUGUGUUCCAAAAAUAAAUGUAUUUCGGACACACACACAUUAUACUAGUAUAUAUUCAACUAAAACUAUUUCUAUGAAACAUUACUCCAUAGGCAUUGCGUUUUAUUUAUUUUUCUUGUUACAGUCAUAAUAUUUCUUUUAUAAUCUCAUAGUUUGUCCACAUGUCAGAUUUGUUAUAGAACACUUUAUCAUAAUUAACUUGGUUGUAAUUAUAUUGACCGACUUUCAGUUUUUGAUAAUUAUAUACAUGUACAUGUAUACCUUAGUUCCAUGCAGCAAUACAAACUACAAUGUACCCACCAAGUACAUACUCCGGCAGGCAUCUUGGGAAACUGGUUUCAUGGGAAUUGAAAGUGUCUAUAUAAAAGUGUCUAGCGAUUCUAACCAGUUUAUUAUAGUUUUUGUAAUAUUCAAAUGUAUUAUUCUCAUUCUCUGAGCAUACAUUAUAUGCUUUAAAGUAUUGUACACCUAUUUUGUUAAUAACAACUGAUGCAUGUAUCUCUUAAAAUGUUUUAUACAUGUAAAUUAAAGUUCGAACGGUU